GGGCAACAGCGCACAGGGAAGAAGCCCUUCCACAGCCACGCUCGCAGCAACUGAAAAGCAAACAAGAGAGCCCGAGAUUUCAAGUCUCUUGAUAUGGAAAAGACCUCUGUCAAUCAGAAGAAGUAGUUCCAGAACACCUGCUAACAUGAUCUCAUGGGCUUCCAGUCAACGGUGUUCACCUUUUCAGAAGACCCCUGCCCCAAAUUUUGGCCCUAAAAUCCUUACUUGUGAGCCAUCAGGGAGUUUGGGACUUUUGAGGACUAGUUUCCUAUUCUCCUAUGUAGUACCACACAAAUAAAUCACCUAUCUUUCUUUACUGCAAAA